CAGGUCACUGUAUCUCUAUGCAUUACAGAAAAUGGCUAGUUAAAAACUUGUCAAGCCAAAACAUGUUGAUUCUGGUGAAAUUUAGCAGAGAAAAACAGCUUCACCUAGUGGCCACAGAAACUCGAAAAGCUUUACUGAAAAGAAAUAAAUUGGAUAUCUUCUCAUCCUGGAUAUGAACUGGAUUCCAACUUAACCUUCCAACUGUUUUGCUGUUUCUCUGAAGUCUGAACCUUGUGUAUGGCAAUACUUAUCUCAAGCAAAAAUAUAGUUUCACAUUGGUAGUACUGUAUUCAGGAAAACUGGAAAUUGUACUAUGAAGGAGCACUUCUACCACAUCCGUAUCUAAGUCUACAUUCACAGCUGCUGGAAACAGAUAUUGUAUUCAUACUAUGGUGGGAAACACAUAAUGUAUGUAUGUAUACACAUGUGUGCACACAUAUAUAUGCUAGCGUAUAAUCUGGAAAAAUUUUGCUAAGAUAUAUAGGAAGAGAACCUUUUUAUUCAGAAUAUUGAACAAGUAGGACUCAUAGUGUAAAAUUAAGAAAAAUUAUUUUUCUUCUACUGCCCUUUCUAUGGAUUUGGUUCUUCCUCUUCCCCUGAAUGUAAACUUAAGCAGUCUUCUAUGCAUUUUGUGUUCAUUCCUAAAUAUUAGAAAUAGUUAUUUGAUUAUUUAGCCUUUAGUCUCAGUUUAAUAACCAAAAUAUGAGGUUAAAAUUUAAUUCUGGCUACAGAAUUAAGGCUUCUCUCUCCUGCCGCACUUCCAGGCCAGUUGCAGGCAUGAUACCAGCAGUCUGGGAGGUAGAGACAAGAGGACACAUCUCUGCUGCUCCCUUCUUUCCCCAUGGUUAUGCGCCAACUUUGGUUUCACCAGGCCUACAGUGCUUCCCAGGUUUGGAGUGUGGGGAAGGAGAAGAUUUAAUGGAAGCAGCUUAAGGGAAAUGCUCAAACUAAACUGAUACUUUCUUCAUGAUCUAGCAUUGAAACUUUCUGGACUUGACAGAUAUUUAAAAUUAACUCUUUUUCUCAUUAACAUUUUCAUGGGUUCUUCCAAGAUCCACAUUACCCAACCUGUGGGUUCCCAUGACAAGGAUUAAGGCAUCUCUGUUUCUUCUGGACCUUUAUUUACCUGGAUUCUUUCUCUAGGGACUGUUUACCCUUAUGGGCCAUCCUUUUGAGCAUAACCUAACAAGAUUCAUGCUGGCUUUAAGUGAGUGGUCCACAUUUGGUUCAUGGGAAAACCACAUAGUUUGUCCCCAGCAAACCUGGAAGUAAUAUUUAUUUUACUGCUGGAAUUAAGGAAAACCAAAAAUCCUAUUACAAAAUGGCUCCUCUAAACAUUCACAUUACCCCUUUUUGUCUCUACCCCCUGAGGAACUAACCAACUCUAGCUCUUUGGAUUUUCCAAAUGAGAGGUCAACACAUCGAUGUCUCCAAGACCUUAAGUUCUUCUAGUGGUCUCUUUAAGCUUCCUCCCUUGAAUUAUGGUGAAAAGGGACUGCCUGCUACCCCCUCCUCUUGAGGAGAGGGGUGGUAUCACAGCCUAACAAUAAUUUCCAAAAAUUUUCUCCUCCAGCUCUAAUGCUUAACCAGUUUAGACUUUCAAAGUGGAUAAUGUAAUUUAAAGCCUUACAGCUAGUUAUGCUCUACUUCUUCUAUAAGUCCUGCAACCAGGUGGUCUCAAUCCUCACUUGCGAAUACUGCAUUUACUCACCUUGUGCCCUAGCCAAAACUUCCACAACAAAUUCUGUGGUGCAUUUAAGUGAAAGAUGUUAUUUGAUUGAUAGAGAGAUAGAUAGAUAGAUACAGAUAUAGAUAUAGAUAUGUAUUAGAACCAUGUCAAAUGGUUAACUUUUUUAAAAAGGUAAAUUUUUUAUAUUGAGAUAAUUAUAGAUUCUCAUACACUCGUAAGAAAUAACACAGAAAGAUCCCAUGUAGCCUUUAUCCAGUUUCCCCAGUGAUAAUAUCUUGCAAAACUAUAGUCCAAUAUCACAACCAAGAUACUGGCAUUGAUAGAUCACUUCCAUCACCACAAACAUCCCUCAUGUUGCCCUUUUAUAGCCACACUCAUUUCCCUCCUGCUGCCACCCUCUCCUUUACCCAUAACCACUUAUCUGUUCUCUAUUUUUGUAAUUUUAUCAUUUCAAGAAUACUGUAGAAAUGGAAUAAUACAGUAUGUAUUUUAGGGCUUAUCUUUUCUACACUCGGCAUGAUUCUCUGGAGAUUCAUCCAGGUUGUUGCAUGUAUCAAUAGUUCAUUCCUUUUUUACUGCUGAACAGUAUUCCAUUGUAUGUAUGUACCAUAGUUUAACUAUUUGCUCAAUGAAAGACAUAUAUUAAUAGUUUCCAGUUUUUGCUGUUAUGAAUAAAGCUACUAUAAACAUUCAUGUACAGGUUUUUGUAUUAAUGCAAGUCUUCAUUUCUUUGGAAGAGAUGACUGAAGUUCAAUUACUGGGUUACGUGGUAGUUGCAUAUUUCUUUUUUAAAGAAACUGCCAAACUGUUUUUCAGAGCAUCUGUAUCAUUUUAUAUUCUCACCAGCAACGUAUCAAUGACCUAGUUUCUCUACAUCCUUUCUAGCCUUAAUUGUCUUUGUUUUUUUAUUUUACUUUGUUUGUUUGUUUUGAGACAGGGUCUUUCUCUGUUGCCCAGGCUGGAAUUCAGUAGUGUAAUCAAGGCUCACUGAAGCCUGACCUCCCGGCUGAAGUGAACUGCCCACCUCAGUGCUGGAAGUAGGGUGGGGCGUCAGCCACCAGUAGCAGGACUGUAGGCAUCUGCCACCAUGCCUGGCUGAUUUCUCUUUUUUCUUUUUGCAGAGAUGGGGUUUUACUAUGUUGGAGAAGCUGGUCUCAAACUCCUGGGCUCAAGUCAUCCUCCCGCCUCAGCCUCCCAAAGUGCUGAGAUUACAGACGUGUGCCUGGCCUAUUUUACUCGUUUUAAUAGAUGUUGAGGGCUCAUGACACUCCUGGUGGCCAUAUACGCAGAGGUCAGGGAGAGAAAGGGACCUGUGGGCCAGCACCCUUAUUGGGUCCAGAGAGCUAUCCAAACAAGUUUCCAGCAGGGAAUUUAAUUGGUGGAUUUAAAGCAAGCAGGCAUGAGUUCCAGGGGGCCACACUGACUGAGGUAUGUAUGUAUGUACCAUAGUUUAACUAUUUGCUCAAUGAAAGACAUAUAUUAAUAGUUUCCAGUUUUUGCUGUUAUGAAUAAAGCUACUAUAAACAUUCAUGUACAGGUUUUUGUAUUAAUGCAAGUCUUCAUUUCUUUGGAAGAGAUGACUGAAGUUCAAUUACUGGGUUACAUGGUAGUUGCAUAUUUCUUUUUUGCACACUGACAGAGAGGUAGUCACUAUGGCAUGUCUGAAUAGUUCGUUCCGUGUGUGAGUAUCAGCAGGGCCAGUCAAGCAGCCUGCAUCUAGCCACCACCUAGUGAAGUAGUCACCAGAGAGCAGUUGUAUAAGGCAGAUAUCUGGAUCCACCACAUUGAGGAACUGGGGGAAGGGAGCACCAAACCGAAAACUGUGUCCAAGGUGACGGAGUCCUGCCUCUGGUGUGAGAAAGCCCAGCUUAUAUUUAAAGUGGAUGCCAAAGCAAUAUAAAAUUAUAGGAAUUCAUUACCAAACUGAUAGCUUGUGGUUUUAAUUUGCAUUUCCCCAAUGAAUAAUGAUGUUGAGCAUCAUUUCAUGUGUUUAUUUGGCAUCUGUGUUACUGUGUGCAUGAAAUAUGUCUUCAUGUCUUUUGUCCAUGUUCUAAUUGGAUUUUCUCAUACUGUUGAGUUUUGAAAAUUUUUUAUAUAUUCCAUAUACUAGUCCUUUGUUGGAUAUGUGGUUUUCAAGUAUUUUCUCCCAGUCCGUAGCUUACCUUUUUGCCCUCUUAACAGAGUCUUUCACAAAAUGUGUUUUUUUUUUCUUUUUUUUUGAAACAGAGUCUCAGUCUGUCACCCAAGCUGGAGUGCAGUGGUGUGAUCUUGGCUCACUGCAACCUCCACUUCCCGGGUUCAAGUAAUUCUCCUGCUUCAGCCUUCCGAGUAGCUGGGAUUACAGGCUCCCACCACCACAACUGGCUAAUUUUUGUAUUUUUAGAAGAGAC
rnacentral:lncRNA from 10 species